rnacentral:tRNA from 1 species
GCCCUGGUAUUCCAACUGGCAGAGAAGGCGGAUUCAAGUCCCGCACAGUGUGGGUUCGACUCCCACCCAGGGCA